UACGAAGGGUGCAAACGUUGCUCGGAGUUAUUGGGCGUAAAGCGCACGUAGGCGGCUUGGUAAGUCGGAUGUGAAAUCCCUCGGCUCAACCAAGGAAGUGCAUCCGAAACUGCUGAGCUUGAGUACUUAAGAGGAUCGCGGAAUUCCCGGUGUAGAGGUGAAAUUCGUAGAUAUCGGGAGGAACACCAGUGGCGAAGGCGGCGAUCUGGGAAGAUACUGACGCUGAGGUGCGAAAGCGUGGGGAGCAAACAGG
rnacentral:rRNA from 1 species